UUAAUGUUGAAAGGCGUUUACAAGCCAAAGACAAAACUAUAGCGGAACUCCAGUCUCAGCUCUCCAGCUUGACAGAAGAAUCCAAUUCAAACCUGUUCAAAAGCAGACUAUUAGAGACAAAUGAAAUGUAUAAUUCAACUCCAGAGCCCAAAAAACUAGAAGAGGGCAACAGAAAAUAUACGAAAAGCGCUUUUAAGGUGCGUUGCUGGUUUAAUUCUUCAAAAUUUUGGCAAAAGACUCUCACUCUCGGUAUCAGACUGUUAGUGAAAGAAUUGGUCAGCGAGAGAGGGUCAAGUCAAACAUUAUACACACUUUUUAUAAGAAUACCAAAUUUUUUGUCGAGCCUCAAUAUCAUGUAAAUUCGUCUUAAGAUCAAGAAAAAUAUUAAAUUUUUUUUGAUGUGUUGCUUCAUUAUAAUUUUCAGCAAGUGAUAUUAAAUGCUUUGGGAGAAAAUUCCAGAUUAAGGAAAAAUUUUAGUCUUGAUGAAAGUUGAGCAAUUUUGAGCCUCAAUAUUCUUAUAUACUUUAUUUUUAUAAAAAAGUGCCUAUUCUUGGUAAAGUAUAUAUACCAAAAUAGCAAAAGCUGUGCGAAGGGGCGAGGAUAUGGGGGGCGGGAGAUGCAAAAAUGCAGCUGUCCUUACAAUUAUCAGUAAGAUCUACUGUUGCUAAAUGAUACCCAAACUCUUUCAAUUACAUCCAUACAAUCUACUUGAAAAUUUCAGUUCAAAUUUUACUUUUUAUGUUGAAUGUGCACAUCAAGUUAAUAUCUAAAUUAAGAAUUGAUUGCCGUAAUCUCCUAUAUGAACGUUUUGAUUUUCAGGCCCUACCUUUCACUGACAUCCUGGAAGAGAAUUCGGCAUCAACGGAUGCAAGCGAGAUGACGAGCAUUAUUCCAGGGCUGCAGCCCUUUGUUAAUCAAUCGUUUAUUUGUCAGCAUCCUCCUCCUUCCAAUCCCCCGAAUAAAGAAAUUAGUUCCGUCAACACAUGUUUUAUAUCUUAUGUUUUUGAAUUUUUAAACUUAUUAUAGAAUUUGGCAUUUCAGAAAAAGAAAUCUUUGGCUACUGUGUCUACGACAGCAAUAGAUGACGACUUCGAGGCUUACGUAGCUGGAUCGGCAGAACUCGAAAGUUCAUUCGCGGAGUCAGAAGGAGAUUUGUGUGAAGAAUCGGCUGCACAAGGUAUUGAGCUACUACAGUCCCUGUCAUUUGACUAUGAAAGCGACUCAGAACCCUCAAAUGACCGAAAAGACAAAAUGAUCCUGAAACAUGAUGACUUUGUGGCGUACACCUGCCUUACAAACACCUUUUACCUUGGUCGUGUCGUUCUUGGUGUGCCUGAAGUAGCCGAGGACCAAGUAGCAGUUAUAUAUGCCACUGCAAGGCCCAACAAUAUGUUUGAUUUUAACAAAAAGAAAACUGACGUAAUAAAAAAACAACAAAUUUUCAAGUGGGGCUCUGCACUAAAAACAGAGUUUGUCAAAUGUGGAGUGUGGAGGGUGGACAGAGCAUCACUUGAAAAGGACCAUCAAAUUGCGGUGAAGAUCCUUCGUGAAAAGGAUGAUUUUUCUCUAGAUUGAGUUGUUAUUUACAAUCAUCAAACCCAAGGGCCACUCAAAUUUACAACAAAAAUGUACGGAAAGGGUCAUUACAGCAAAGUUCAGCCCUUAAAUAUAGGUUUCUACGAGUUUCUUUCUACCAAAUGACAAAAAAUUAGCCGAUUAACAAAUUAUCUUUAUCUUUAAAUGGCUUUAUCAAUUUCGAGAAUGAAGAAAAGAUUAGAGUUGUUCAACCUAGUACCUAACAGAAUAAGAUUAGAUUUUUCAAAAUUUAUAUCAUCACAAUUUCUAUCGCGAGUGAAAAAAUUAUGCAAAAAAUUGCCAGUCGCAACAAGACACAGGAACAUAAAGUUUCUUGAAGUGAUAACACAGUAGCAAGAUAAAAUAGUAGUUCUAUUAUUUUAUCUUGGCGGCAGGGAUUAUUAAAGUUUCUAAAUUGCUCAGAACCUUUACUAACAGGUUAGUUUUAGUGAGUUUUCUCAGUAGAAAUAUAAAAAAGCUGUCAUUUAAUUUCUGUAACGGUUACACCCAUCAACAUAGUACUUCUGCCCAAAUUAAAUGCUCGGCUCUUUUAACUAAGAUCGAAGACAACAGGCCCCUGAAAGAGUUUCUCAUCGUAAAUGCCGUAUCCCUUUCUGGCCUGCCCCCGAACUUUAAUCUUCUCUAACAAACACGUACCAGUGUAUGACUGUUAUGUACACAAUCUGGAUAAAACGAGUAUUCAAAGAAAUAAAAUAUUAAAUGUACCCCAUAUAAUAGUACAUAAUAUCUUUAAUUAAUCAUUUUGCUACUUACAAAAAAUCCUGUCCCCAAGCCUCUAUUUUCGCUAUAAUUUCAACAUAAGUUGAAGAUAAAGAAUUCAAUAUUGUAAAUCUGGUAGACGUUUGUUUUGAAAAAAACUUUCAUGGCUUGGCUGUCCGUUUUUGUAGAGCCCAGUUGUCGAGCGGUUUUACCGUAAGAUUUUUUGGAAUUUGUUAUGUAACUAGCUUUGUAUUUUAUUGUGUAGGCUUUUUGCUGUCAUUGGAAUCCGAUUGUCAACGAUUAUGAAAGUAAAGAAUGGUUUACUUUGUACAUUUGUACUAAUUUGAAACAAUAAUUAAAGCGCAGAGCUAGCA